GAUGAAGAACGUAGCGAAAUGUGAUAAGUAAUGUGAAUUGCAGAAUUCAGUGAAUCAUCGAAUCUUUGAACGCACCUUGCGCCUUUUGGUAUUCCGAAAGGCACACCUGUUUGAGCGUCAUGAAUACCUCAAUCUCCAUCUUUUCUUCGGAUUGAUGGGUGACUUGGAUGUUGAGCCCUGCUGGUAUGCUAUAUCAGCUGGCUUUAAACUUAUUAGCCGGCUCUGUACUGGAUCGGUUUGACUCGACGUGAUAAUAUUAUCGUUGAGGAUGCAUGUCUCAUGCAGCCGGAAAGUAUCAAAGCAGCUUCUAGCUUGCCUUUAGUGCACUUUUACAUUUUAGACCUCAGAUCAGGCGGGACUACCCGCUGAACUUAAGCAUAUCAAUAAGCGGAGGA
rnacentral:misc_RNA from 1 species